rnacentral:pre_miRNA from 1 species
ACACACAUCACCCGGGGAUCUUGUUAAAACACAGAUCCUAAUUCAGUGGGUCUAGGGUGGUGCCUGAGAGCCUGCAUUUUUAACAAGCUCCUAGGAGAUGCUCAU